rnacentral:pre_miRNA from 1 species
AGGAGGAACAACCCCAGUGGCAGGGCCAGCUCUGGAGCUCUGGAGUCAGCUCCCGCAUGAACUCCAGAGCUCUCCGUCUGCAGGGCCUGGAUGCUCGGGGGUGGG